rnacentral:rRNA from 1 species
AUUGAACGCUGGCGGCAUGCCUUACACAUGCAAGUCGAACGGUAACAGGUCUUCGGAUGCUGACGAGUGGCGAACGGGUGAGUAAUACAUCGGAACGUGCCUAGUAGUGGGGGAUAACUACUCGAAAGAGUGGCUAAUACCGCAUGAGAUCUACGGAUGAAAGCAGGGGAUCGCAAGACCUUGUGCUACUAGAGCGGCCGAUGGCAGAUUAGGUAGUUGGUGGGAUAAAAGCUUACCAAGCCGACGAUCUGUAGCUGGUCUGAGAGGAAGAUCAGCAACAGUGGGACGCGGAACCGGCCCAGACUCCUACGGGAGGCAGCAGUGGGGAAGUUUGGACAAUGGGCGCAAGCCUGAUCCAGCAAUGCCGCGUGCAGGAUGAAGGCCUUCGGGUUGUAAACUGCUUUUGUACGGAACGAAAAGCCCCGGGUUAAUACCCUGGGGUCAUGACGGUACCGUAAGAAUAAGCACCGGCUAACUACGUGCCAGCCGCCGCCGUAA